CAAUAAAAUACAAUGGCAUCCACAUAAAGAAAUAAUACAGCGUCCAAGCACUAGUCCUCACUUAAGCCUCGUUUCCAUAUAUUCAAAAUAAACAAAUUUACAAACCACCAUAACCAUAUUUUCAAUUCCCAUUUCGUCCUCAUCUCUCUCAAGUAGACCAGUUUUUUCCUUGACUAAAAUGAAUGAAUCAUUUCAUUAAUCAGAGCUGUUAAAUUCUCGAAUACGCACAAACAAAGCACAUUGAUUAGACCUCACGAUUCAUGGGUUUGUUCUGAUUUUUGUUUCUGAUACAUAACUAUAAAUUUCUCAAAUACCCAUUUGCUUUUACUCUUUUAAUUUUUUUAAUUCCAUUGGGGAUCAGCUGCUGAAUCAUCGUGCUUCUUCUUUCUCAAAUUUUUGUAUAUACUUGAAUCAGGUAAAAGGGGUUUCCUUCAAUCUAAUUUUAGUUUCUUUUGCUGAUUUUCUCGCAAUUAGCUUCUGGGUAUUGCAAAUUUGUAGCUUUCUGGGAGUUGGGUCUGAUCUCAUCUGUGGGGCGCAGCUUGACUUGCUUAGUAAUUGUUUGUGAUUUGUUUUAAUAGAAUAUUUGAAAUUAUUUGGAUCUCUGUAGAAACAUAAUUUAAUUUGUUUUUAAUCUGAUAUGACAGCAUACACAGUUCCAAAUAUGUAAUUUUCACAUUAUCAUAUCCUGUACAUGCCACAUAACUGUCAAUUAGCCUCUAUUUCUUUUUUCUUUUUUUGGUUUUUUUUUUAUAGGUUAGAUAUGGAGCAAGUGUGGUCUUUUGUGUCUUUGUGGUUUGUCUUUUUUUAGUUUGUGGUUGUGGAGUUCAUUUUCUCUAGUGAGUGGUUAUGAUAGUGUUUGUAAAAUCUGAGGACAUCACUGUGCUUAGGGGUAGUGGUGGUUUUAGCUUGUUGGUUAAUUUCCUGUGGAAAUGAUCUUGGUAAGUAUAUUAGUGAAAGCAGACAGGAAAUCUAUGCCUGCCCAUGAUAUUUAUCUCUAGUGCAAUUCAUUUAUAGAGAUAUUAUAUUUGUUGCAUAUUUACCUAUAUAACUGAUUUCAUGUUUGAUAUGGCUAUGAGUGUCUUGGCAUCAGAAGGAGAAGAAAAUGUUGUGCAUAUCUAUGAAUGUGGUGGUAUCACUUGUUCAUUCUCACAAUUCUUGAUAAAUUAUAAUAAAUGAAAAGAAGAUUUGAUAUGCUAACCAUGUUUCGCAUUGAAAAGAAACUAUUUUAUAUCUGCCAACAUCUUUUAUAGUUUCCACAUUUCUUUAUAAUUUGUUUAAUUGUCGAUUGACAUCUUUCAGAUGGAGAGGGAAUUAUUUAGUAAAAUUUGAGUGGAAACUUCAAGUGUAAUCAGUAUAUAGACAUCACAACAGGGUGGGUAUGGUACAGGGUGACCCUUUCCCAUGCCUACCCUGCUAAGAAAACUCCACCCCGUUCCGCUCCGCCCCAAUCAGCCCAUUUUUCCCCUUGUAGCAAUUAGCAAACUAAGAGAAGAGAUUUAAAAAUAAAAUUAAAAAAAAGACUAUGUCAUGCUAAAAUAGAAGACCAUUAUAUAAUAGCAUUUAAUUGAUGACCCAACAUCAAACGAAUAUCAAAAUGGAAAUUGCUCCUCAAAAGGUUCUUCGCAGCCCUAAUGAUCCAUGCUAAAUGGAUUUCCUAACGUUCCCAACCUCUAAGAAAUUCAUCAGUAAUUUAUUUUCAAGUACCUUCCCCAAAUGGAAAGAGCCAACACGACUCUGCAACCUUACCUCCUCCAAUCCAAAGCGUUUAAUAAAUAAUAACCACCCUCCAACAGGGGCUGCCUUCUUCUACUGAAAAUGCCAAACCCAUUUUCCAAACAAACCUUGAUUAAUAGUUCCCAAGUCUCGAAUACCAAAACCUCAUUAUCAUGUUUUAUUUAAUAAGCAUCAAUCUUCCUCGUUUGGACAAGUAACCCCUUUUGUAACUGUGUAAAAAGUAGAUAUUCAUGUAGAUUUAUUGAUUGUAAAUAAUAUGAUUACACUUAAUUAACAUUUUCUGUGACGUUAUCUAGAUUUUAAGUACAAUUUGUGCCGAAAUACUAAAAUUCUAAAACUUUUUAUAUUCUUAUAAAUUUAUUAAAUAGAUCUCGUGAACAGUUCAAGACUGGGGCCAACUGAUUUAUAACUGAGCCAAGAUUGAACACAACUUAACGAGUUGAGUGUAAAGAAGACGUAGCUCGGCUCGAGAUUGGUUAAUUUGUAGCCAUAGUUACAUCCCUCUUGUCUGCCUAUAGUUCUGUCUCAUAUCCUUCAUGUAUCUG
rnacentral:lncRNA from 1 species